AGUAAGCUCUAGAGACCAAAUUCAAAAUAACACCGCUCUGCGAUGUUAAAAGUUGAUCCCAGGGGGUCACUGGGAAAUUCUUCUAGACUGAAGGAGACUGAAGAGACAUGACAUAAUCUGGAUGAGAUGCUUUGACUAUGGAGAACACUGUAGCCUGAUUUGAUUAGGGGGGCCUGAGUAGGAUCUAUGGACUGCAUGGUAGUAAUACAUAUUGUACCAGCUAUUGCUAAAGCAAAUUCCAAGACUCUACUCAUCUAGAUUGCUUUCUGAUAUCAUCAUAAAAUAAAAAAGUAUACUUAGAAUAUUUUCCAGUAACAUCAAUUUUACUUAUUUUAAAAUUGCAAAUUCUUAAAAAGGCAGCUUAUUUUGUGUGUCGCUCAAAGAAUUCUAUGUGUCUGACGACUUAAUGCUUUUGAUACAUAAGAGCUUGCAGGCAGGAAGUCUAUUCUUUCUGCAGAACAACAACCUAAAACUCUUUUUUUUUUUUUUUGAUAGUAAGCUCUAGAGACCAAAUUCAAAAUUCUGUUACUUUAAAAAUUCCAUUAAGCAAGAAUUGCUCUCAGAAAUAAAAGUAGGUAGGGCAUGUCUAUGGAUAUUAAUUAAAUUUUAUGAAAAUAAAAAUUCAGAAAUGCAGUUCCAAAUGUGACAGAACACACUAUAAAGGAUCCCUGCAGCUGUGAGGUUCAUGUUUUGUCCUUCAGGCAAUAGCAAGCAGUGUUUCUAUUAUUCUACCAAUCAGCCAGGGAACUACAGGUACUGAUGGAGUCUUGGUUCAGGGUCAUGAAACCAGAUACUCAGGAAGGUGCAAAUGAAAAAGACAAAUCAGGUCUUCAUUGUGGACUUCUAGUAACUUACCAUCCAAAAUUCAAAAGCUGGUAUUUUCAAUUAAAAACAGAAUGCCAAUGAGUGUGGAAAUAUGUAAACAUAUAAAAUACCCCCAAAUCUUUAACUCUGACUUAGGCCAAAAUAUAUUUCUCAGAGUGGGUUGUGGAGAAAAGGGAACCCUCCUGCACUGUUGGUGGGAAUGUAAACUGGUACAGCCACUAUGGAGAACAGUAUAGAAAUACCUUAGAAAUCUAUACAUAGAACUACCAUAUGACCCUGCCAUCCCGCUCUUGGGCAUAUAUCUGGACAAAAGUUUCCUUAAAAAAGACACAUGCACCUGCAUGUUCAUUGCAGCACUAUUCACAAUAGCCAAGACAUGGAAACAACCCAAAUGUCCAUCGACAGAUGAUUGGAUUCGGAAGAUGUGGUAUAUAUACACAAUGGAAUACUAAUCAGACAUAAAGAAGAACAACAUAAUGCCAUUUGCAGCAACAUGGAUGAAACUAGAGACUCUCAUACUGAGUGAAAUAAGUCAGAAAGACAAGUACCAUA
rnacentral:lncRNA from 1 species